CGGUGAGCAGUUUAUAAGAGUCCGUGCAGCAUCCGCUCUGUCUCUCUACAUGCGGACACCAUGCCGUGUGCUUUGCUUUCUCCGGGGCGACGUAGGUGCUGUGUCCUAUGCUGAAUCAACAUGAUGGAGGACCUGUAAGACAAACCCUCUGGGACUUGAGGCGGAGCCUCUGAUGCUGUGCUGACUGACCUGCUGCUUCCCACCACAGACGGGCAGAAGCAGCUGACCAGCAGAGGGCAGCAGCUGCUCCAGCAGGAGCUUAGACUGACAGCAGGCUUACCUGGAUGAAAGGAAAAGGUUCUAGACCGACUGCAGGAUGCACCUGGACUCCUCAGCCAACACUUUGUUUACAAAGAUACAACCACAGAUUAUCCCAUUGUCAUUUUUUUUACAGCCAUUAUUAAAUUAAUUAUAACCUAGUCAUGAAA